rnacentral:rRNA from 1 species
CGGGGGGGGCAAGCGUUGUUCGGAAUUACUGGGCGUAAAGGGUGCGUAGGCGGCUUUCUAAGUUGGAUGUGAAAACUAUGGGCUCAACCCAUAGCCUGCAUCCAAAACUGGAGAGCUUGGGUUCUGGAGGGGAAAGCGGAAUUCCUGGUGUAGCGGUGAAAUGCGUAGAUAUCAGGAGGAACACCGGUGGCGAAGGCGGCUUUCUGGACAGACACCGACGCUGAGGCACGAAAGCUAGGGGAGCAAACAGGAUUAGAUACCCUGGUAGUCCUAGCCCUAAACGAUGGAUACUUGCUGUGAGGGGGAUUGAAACCCUUUGUGGCGAAGCUAACGCAUUAAGUAUCCCGCCUGGGGAGUACGGUCGCAAGGCUG